GCCCGCGCGCCCGUGCGCCGCGCGCCGCGCCCUGCUCUCAGUGCGCGCCCGCCACCCGGAGCGGCCGUGGGGUCCACUCUACCGGGCCUUCGGCCCGCGUCCACCGCGCUCCACGGCGCGGCCGGCGGCGGUAGGGAAACUCUCAGGGGCUCCUUCUCCGCGGCUGGUCUCCCCGCCGCCUGGCUCGCGCAUCUCCCGCCAGUUUGCUUUUGCUCCCUCCCACUGCAACUCCUGGAUUUCGGGGGUGUCAGCCGGCGGUUCAGCCCGGGCGCAUUAACAGGAGGACACGACUCGGGCGACCAUAGGGUGGCUGGAAAGUGACCGUCCAGGGGUGCGCCCUAGCUGUCCCGCCAAGGCCUCAGGGAACCCAGGUCUUUCCUGAGCGACGCGGGGACCCGAGGGCCCGCCCCUCGGGGAGGAGCAAAGCUUUGGCUGAAGAGCUGGCCAAUGGGAGGCGCGGGCGGCAGCACAACGUGGAGUGGCUGCAGAAUGUAAACACCACUCAGCCACGCGCCUGGCCAAGUGCGGCUCUGCUCUCCCUAGUCCCGGUCCGCGACCACCCGGAGCCCGCUCCGCCGGCCCUGCGCUGCGCGCCCAGGGAAGGCAUUUCCAGCCCGCCCACCCGGCAAUUCAACAUGGAAUCGGAGGUGGUCCUGACAAAACAACAGAGGCAAGCCAUGCCCUUGUCCCAUGGGAUUAGUGCCAGCCAGCAACAAGAAAUUUCCUGCAAUAGGACUAUUGUCCACUAGUCUAUCAGUCUGAAGGGGUAAAGAAUGAAAUUCUGCCUGACUUUUAAAACUCAAACUUCUAAGUGCACCGACCUGACCAGUCUGACUCCCUUCCUGAUUAGUGCCAUGGAAGCAGUCCAGGCACACCAGAGACACAAAACCAGCCUCAAAGAAUCACUGUAAUCUAAACACAGAGGGGCUCGUGUCCCCUAGGGCCCAGACUUGGUAUGAAGCAGAGAACCCUGGCCUGCACUUCCCAGGGUUUCCAGAGGUGAUAGUGCAGAGUAGGCCCUGGGAGACUGGUGGAGAAAUAAGCUGCCAGGGAAGCCACCACUUCAGACUCUGUUAAUGUUAUUUCAGAGGCUGGGAUGAUCACAGACAAUCCUGGUCAGCUCUUUAAUUACUAAUCCAUUUUUCACCUUUGCAGACUUCUCUAGAGGCUAUUGUUACCCUGUGAGAUAGCUAUAUCAUUUCAUUGAUUUCUAUGUUAUGACAUACUCUUGAAUACAGUUGUCAAACGUUUCUUUGACAGGAAUAAUUUUAUUCCUGUAAUUUGGCAUUAGAGAGCACCCCGCAUAGGGAUACAUAAGCCAGAGUGUUCUGUCUGUAUCCCCAGGUUCACCCAAACUGGAAAUCUCCCAUCCUUUGCUUCCUCCUCCUUUUGCCCUCUUCCCCUGCACCCCAAUCACACUCUUCAAUUCUGUGUUCACAGUAUCUCCAACAUCCUUCUCUUUCCAACCCAUUCCCUGUGUUUUACCUUUGGGAGGUGUUUAGUAAAUGCUGACCAACUGAUACAAUUCAUUUCCCUUUUUAUUCCUUGCAUUUGGAUAUGACACUAGUUUUAAUUUAGUUAAGUGUUAAGUUUUAUUUAAAACCUUUAGGCCACGGUGUAUUGAAGCAACUUUGGGACACAUUCUCUUUAGCCAGAUAAUUCAAUGGCAAAAAAACUUGAAAAACUUAAGUUUUAUUCUUGUUAUAGAGGAAGCAAAUUCCUCACUUCUUUUAGGACUAUCUUUUGAAAUACAUGUUAUUUCCAGCUUAAAGAACUUAGAAAUAAAAUCUUACCCCAAUAGA